rnacentral:rRNA from 1 species
UUUCGAAUCAUACACAAUGAGGGAAACCCUGAUGGUGCGACGCCGCGUGGAGGAUGAAGGUCUUCGGAUUGUAAACUCCUGUCAAGGGGGACUAACCAUACGGCUCAUACCCGUAUCUGCAUUAACCCCUAGAGGAAGCAGUGGCUAACUCUGUGCCAGCAGCCGCGGUAAUACAGAGACUGCAAGCGUUACUCGGAUUCACUGGGCGUAAAGGGAGCGCAGGCGGAAUCGUGUGUCGGAUGUGAAAGACCAGGGCUUAACUCUGGGGUUGCAUACGAAACUGGGUAACUAGAGUGCAGGAGAGGAAAGUGGAAUUCCUAGUGUAGCGGUGAAAUGCGUAGAUAUUAGGAGGAACACCAGUGGCGAAGGCGGCUUCCUGGACUGUAACUGACGCUGAGGUGCGAAAGCCAGGGGAGCGAACG